CCCAAACUCCUACGGGAGGCAGCAGUGGGGAAUAUUGCACAAUGGGCGAAAGCCUGAUGCAGCGACGCCGCGUGAGUGAAGAAGUAUCUCGGUAUGUAAAGCUCUAUCAGCAGGGAAGAAAAUGACGGUACCUGACUAAGAAGCCCCGGCUAACUACGUGCCAGCAGCCGCGGUAAUACGUAGGGGGCAAGCGUUAUCCGGAUUUACUGGGUGUAAAGGGAGCGUAGACGGCGACGCAAGUCUGGAGUGAAAGCCCGGGGCCCAACCCCGGGACUGCUUUGGAAACUGUGCUGCUGGAGUGCAGGAGAGGUAAGUGGAAUUCCUAGUGUAGCGGUGAAAUGCGUAGAUAUUAGGAGGAACACCAGUGGCGAAGGCGGCUUACUGGACUGUAACUGACGUUGAGGCUCGAAAGCGUGGGGAGCAAACAGGAUUAGAUACCCUGGUAGUCCA
rnacentral:rRNA from 1 species